UACGGGGUGCAGCAGGCGCGAAAACUUUACAAUGCUGGCAACAGCGAUAAGGGAACCUCGAGUGCCAGGUUACAAAUCUGGCUGUCGAGAUGCCUAAAAAGCAUUUCAUAGCAAGGGCCGGGCAAGACCGGUGCCAGCCGCCGCGGUAACACCGGCGGCUCGAGUGGUAACCGUUAUUAUUGGGUCUAAAGGGUCUGUAGCCGGCCGGAUAAGUCUCUUGAGAAAUCUGGCAGCUUAACUGUCAGGCCUUCAGGAGAUACUGUCUGGCUCGAGGCCGGGAGAGGUGAGAGGUACUUCAGGGGUAGGGGUGAAAUCUUGUAAUCCUUGAAGGACCACCAGUGGCGAAGGCGUCUCACCAGAACGGACCUGACGGCAAGGGACGAAAGCUAGGGGCACGAACCGGAUUAGAUACCCGGGUAGUCCUAGCCGUAAACGAUACUCGCUAGGUGUCGGCCACGGUGCGACCGUUGUCGGUGCCGUAGGGAAGCCGUGAAGCGAGCCACCUGGGAAGUACGGCCGCAAGGCUGAAACUUAAAGGAAUUGGCGGGGGAGCACCACAACGGGUGGAGCUUGCGGUUUAAUUGGAUUCAACGCCGGAAAUCUUA
rnacentral:rRNA from 1 species